UUGAACGCUGGCGGCAGGCUUAACACAUGCAAGUCGAGCGGGCGAGGUUGCUUCGGUAACUGAGCUAGCGGCGGACGGGUGAGUAAUGCUUAGGAAUCUGCCUAUUAGUGGGGGACAACAUUCCGAAAGGAAUGCUAAUACCGCAUACGCCCUACGGGGGAAAGCAGGGGAUCUUCGGACCUUGCGCUAAUAGAUGAGCCUAAGUCAGAUUAGCUAGUUGGUGGGGUAAAGGCCUACCAAGGCGACGAUCUGUAGCGGGUCUGAGAGGAUGAUCCGCCACACUGGGACUGAGACACGGCCCAGACUCCUACGGGAGGCAGCAGUGGGGAAUAUUGGACAAUGGGCGAAAGCCUGAUCCAGCCAUGCCGCGUGUGUGAAGAAGGCCUUUUGGUUGUAAAGCACUUUAAGCGAGGAGGAGGCUACCGAGAUUAAUACUCUUGGAUAGUGGACGUUACUCGCAGAAUAAGCACCGGCUAACUCUGUGCCAGCAGCCGCGGUAAUACAGAGGGUGCGAGCGUUAAUCGGAUUUACUGGGCGUAAAGCGUGCGUAGGCGGCUUCUUAAGUCGGAUGUGAAAUCCCUGAGCUUAACUUAGGAAUUGCAUUCGAUACUGGGAAGCUAGAGUAUGGGAGAGGAUGGUAGAAUUCCAGGUGUAGCGGUGAAAUGCGUAGAGAUCUGGAGGAAUACCGAUGGCGAAGGCAGCCAUCUGGCC
rnacentral:rRNA from 1 species